AGAACCUCACCACCUCAAAGCCAGAGACUGACUCCGGGCCACUCUCCAGCUUAGGCACAGCAGCCACGGCUGUUUCUGGCUCCGUUGGGGUUCUGGCCCUCCUCUUGCUCCUGGUGGGUCUCUUGUCCAUGACCCUGAAGAAAUGGAGGCACGAGAGACUAUUUAAGAAACAGCUGAGACAUCAAACCAAAUUUCUCCACAAAUCCUCGGAGCUUUCCUGCCACGCUGACGCCAUAUAUGCCAACGUGAUCAACCUGGCCCCCUGGAAGGAGGAUGACUGCGCAGUCUAUGCCAACGUGCCCUCUUUCGACCGCCCCAGGAGGGCUGCGCCGGACCAAGUGGAAUAUGCAGCCAUUGUCUUCCACUGAUGGGAGGGAGCUGGAGACGCUGCGGGCCAAGGAGGCCCGCUCCCAAGACCCUGGCGUGGCUUUUCCUUUAAAGGGGGAAUGCGUGUGUGUGCGUGUGUGUGUGUGUGUGUGAGUGUGUGUGCAUGUGUUUUAAUGCAUGAAACAUUCUGAUGGCGGUAGAUGACUGGAUAUUUCUUGUAAUUUACUGGCAGCAAAGUGAAGUUCUAAUCAAAAGGAGCAGCAUAUGAAAGACAGAAGGACCUGCUGUUCCCAGAAGCAGCUCCCUGAGGUAGCCUGGCCAACAGAGGAGCCCAUCAAGAUGCCCCCUCUGAGGCCAGGCUGAGGGCAGGGUCCACUCUGUUCAAGAACCAGAUGGGAUUUGCCUCUCAUGCCCUGCAGGGUCAGGAGCCUAUUGACCACAUAGGAGUGAUUCAGCGUCAUCUCUGGGGCUGAGGGGUAUGAGUGCAGGGACCUGUGUGUCCACUGCUGGACAGGACAUCAGGCCUUGGGGGUGGGACGUGGGGGUGCAGCAACAUGAGAGGCACUUCUCAAGGGCGGAAUGAGAUAGGGUGAGCUCCCACAGAGAAUGGACGGCCAUUUGGGGCAGUAGCGGUGGGACAGGACUGCCCAGGGGAGCUUUGGGGAGCUUUGGAAGAUGCCUGGAACUUUGUAACUGGGUCACUCUUUCUUUCUUCAUUUAGAAACACUCAUGAAAUACCAUGUUCUAGACCCUGGAAGUACAGCAGGGACGCCAACAGACAAAACCUUGAGUGGUGGGAUGUAGGGAGCUCUGGGUGAAGCAAGCUGCUGUUUCAGUGUGGAGAGUCAAAGAAGUCCUCCCUGAUGCUUGACCUGUAGGAAAUGAGAAGUGAGAUCUGAGAAUAAAUGGGGAAGAGCAUUUCAGGCAGAAGGAACAGCAAUACACAGGCCCUGAGGCGAAAGUUUACCUUACAUGGUCAAAGAACAGAAGGAGGCAGGCAUGUCUGCAGAGGGGUGGUGUCAGGGAACGAGUUCUGGGAAUCAGCGUCUUGUUUCACCUCAGUGCAGAGCCCCUGUGCCGCCAGCGGUGCCCCUUUCCUGCCACUGUCACUCACUAAGCUCCAGAUUUCACAGGAGUCACUCAGAGAACACUCCAGGACCUGAUUCUUGGUGUCCACGCCACCCUAACCCUGUCGUCGUUGUUGUCGAGGGAGACUUGUGGCCAUGUAAACAGUGCUCCCGCGCCUGAGCACAGUCCCUAAGGCGUGAGCUUCUAGUUAUCAAAGAUGCCACUGGGUGUCGAUAUGGAAGGAUGAAAUGAGAUCAAUGACCAAACAAGUUUGCAAGAUGGCGAGUAAGCAAAGAGCAGUGAAGAAAAGAAAAUUUCACUUAAAACCAAAGCUGACAGAAGCCACUUCCACCUUCUCCAGAGGGUGCCUUUUCACGUUGUUAAGAAAACAUGUAUUCUCCACCCCUGGGGACUGAGGGAGGAGAUGGUAGAAAGGGUGCAGGGAAAUUUUCGAGAUUCUGCCACCUUUUCGUCUUGAUAAAGGGCAAGUCCAGGAGUUGGUGCUGUUUCAGCGGAGAUCACAUGCCUGGCUCGCCAGGGGCUUUUCCUAGUGUUCACUUGUCCCAGCAAAACUAUUAUUAGGUCAACUCUCACUCCCCAAAGGGUCACAUUUUGGAAGAUAAUUCUUGUGGUCGCUGUUAACAAGACUUUGAACGUACAAAAGUAGGCCCAAGAGCAAAUAAGGGAAGAGAUGGUGUUUACUACAAUAAAGUGAGGAGAAUAGACCUGGGGUGGGAGCAGAGGAGGCUGCAAGAAUAGGAGAGGAAAGUUGUUUUUUUUUUUUUAAGAUUUAUUUAUGCAGACAAGAGCUGGGGUGUAGGCCAGAGUUGUAGGUGUGGAUGAGAGAAUUCGCCAGAGAUAGAGUGGGGAGCAGAACAGAGGAAUCCAUUGAGAUACACUGCUGAGGGGAGCAGUGGGUGAGAUAGAAGAGGUCUGCUGUGCCAUGUGGGUAGCUCCCUGGCUGGGGAUCAAACUUGUGUUGCAGUGGCUGCAGAUAGCUUCAUAGUGCUGAUGCCUAACCCCUUGUGCCACCAGAGAGGCCUAGGAGAGGAAAGUUUUGAGGGGAAAAGGGACUGAAAACACAGAAAAGACUUCGGGCUAGCUUGGGGGAUCCUGGGGAACACACAGCACCUUCUGUGGGUGUUUUAGGGAAGGGAAAAUCAUUGUCAGGGGACUGAAUCCACAUCUGUCAGCACAGAGCAGAAAUAAGGGAAGUGGUAAGAGGUGUGAUAUGAAUGAUGUAGACAAUUUGGGACAACUUUGAGCUGGAAGUGAUCACAAGAACACAACCCCCCAGAAAAUUCUCAGAAAUCUCAGGAAGGCAACAGAGUUUCCAAAGAACCUGCCUUUGGGAGAGUAAACCAAUUGUUUGGUAUUUUUGUUUGUUUUUUAUUGAGGUUACAUUGGUUUACAACACUGUGUAUAAUUUAAGGGGGUAGGUUCACAUCUCCUUAGAUGUGUGUUGCCACCCCACAUCUUGCACCAAAGUACCCAUAGCCCUCCACCAUAGACCAUGGGGUCCCUCCCUUCAGUUUCCCCCACUGACAGUCCCACAAAAUAUAAGCAUCCUGCAUACAAUGCCAGUGAUAAUGCAGUUGAGAGACCCUACUCUGGGGUCUUCCUGGAGCUCCUGGGGAGCCUGCCUUGUGCUGCCUCCUAUAGAUAUUUUAACAUGAAAAUGUUCCCCCAAGCUUGAGACCCCUGGAGAUUCCAACAACAGUAAAUGAACACUAAGUGGUGAUUUAAAAAUCCCAGAAACUGGAAGAAUGGAUGACCAAUCAGCCAGUCCAAUUUCCUGGGAUGCCCCAGUUUUAGCACAGAGCAUUCUAGAACCCAGGAAGCCUCUUCAUCAGGGCUGCUAGCAGCCGGGGCUCUCUGAUACUUGAAGAACUUUGUGACUUUAGAGCAAGCAGUUUCCCUUCAGUUAGGUGGGGAGAAUUUGGACAUUUCCAGAUGAAGCCCUGGCUGGGCACUAAGACACAGACACAUGCCUGCAGCUUGUCCCCAGAAGUCGUCCAUGACCUACCCGCUUUGCAGGGUGACUGUCUUCCUCUCCUUACCCCAAACCUUCCAUGUCUCCUGCAUGAUCUACUCUCACAGAUGCUGCUCAGUGUAUUUUGCUGAAUAGGUACUGCUCUUCUAGAAGGUUCUUGGAAAUUUUGGUCAGUAGACUGAGGAACUUCAAGACAAUUAGCCAUAUGGCAGUUACUUUUCUCCCAGGAAAAUAUAAUUCUGUAAGACUGUGAAUAUCCCCCAAAGAGAAUGUGUCUAAGUUUUAACAAGGACAGGGAUUCAGAACAUGGAAGCUUUGCAAGGUCUUGAGAGAAAUCUGCAUGUUGAAAAUGCAGCUCAUUGGUCUCUUAAUGUUUCUAUUAGAGGAUAGAAAAAGCCAGCUUCUCAGUGCCCAUAAAGGAGGAAUAUUUUAUCAAAGCAUAAUUUUACAAUUACUGGCUCUUGGUGAUAAUAAA